rnacentral:lncRNA from 1 species
GGAGAGACGGUAACCAUGCAUGAUCUAUUACGAGACAUGGGAAGGGAGGUCGUUCGUGAAUCGUCUCCAAAAGAACCUGGAUAGAGGACCAGAAAUUGGAAUCAAGAGGAUGCAUGGAAUGUGCUUGAGCAGCUGAAGGUAAAAAAAAAAUAGUCAUGGAACACUUGACUGAUCAAAGAAAAAAAAUUAUUUAUUUUCUCUUAUUGAGCUCCAUAGUUUAAACUUUCUCUUUACACAUAAUUUUUAGUUUGGUAUAUAUAUUCUACUGUUUUUUAUAAUCUUUAUAUUUAUAUUUUUAAAUAUAAGUACACAUAGCAUCAUUUGAAUCUUUUGAUUGAAAGUAAAAGCUUUAUCUCGUAAAAUCAUCUCUAGAAGGUUUUAUUUGGUCAAUCUUCAAAAACUUAGGGAUUAAAAAAAAAAAACUUCUUACUUGAUUCAAUUUGGAAACCUCAAGGAGAAAAUUGAAACAAGUAUAACCUCACGGGGAGAAGUUGAAUUCUCCCCAAACUCAGGGGUUAAUUAAAAUUAACCUUUAAAUUUCUAUCCAUGCCCAGUUGCCCACGAAAGAGAAGAGGUACAUCCACGUGAAGCUCAUUUUGGGUUUGGGUUAGUUGAAAAUAUCUAGUGGGUGGGCCUUUUUUUUCUUCUGUUUUUCUGUUUUUUUUUUGUUUUUAUGCACAGAAUACAUGAAAUAAUAAAUUUAAAUCCAACAAAUCCAAUAGAGAUAUAAUAUUGUAUACGAUCAACAUGAAAGAAUUUUACGAAAAGAGAUGAAAAUAUCAUAUAUUAUGAGUCUCUGCCAGUCAUAAUUGUAUUGUUUUGUGUAUUAUCAAUUAUCUUUCUUGUAUAGGAAAUAUCAGGUUGGAUUUUGCUGAUGACAAACUUAAUCCUAGAGAUUGCAUCUGCGGUUUUUGACCAGACGGGUGAUGCAUUAAUUGGCAUGGUGUUGGCAUUUGUAGCUUUGCUUCUUGCUGCCGUUGAACUCAUUCACAUGGCUCGAAAGGAAAGAACUAAACGGGAGGGCAUGAGCCUAUUGCCACGUUUUCAUCUCCAUGCAACUUAUACUUUCGCAACUAGAAAGCCUGUUGGCACUAUUGUUGAGUAUUUUGGAUUGGCUGGUGCUGUCUGGCAAUGUGUUUAUUCGACUGUGGAGUAUAUGUAUACUCGUCAGAAGAAAGAUAAUCCAAUUAAGAUGUGUCUUCGACCUUUUAUUUUCUUAUUAUGCGUGGUGAUUUCCAAAUUAUUAGUCGACAAGAGUUCCGUUGUAAAUAGUUCUUAGCAAUAGUAUUUUCUUUGAACUAGAAGGAAUUGCUAGUAUUGUGUUCUAAGGACUCUUUUUAGUGGGAAUGAGUCAAAGAUUUUGAUUCCUAGAUUUUCUUAUCGAAGACCCAGACUUGUAAUGCAAUUAAGACUCUAUAUUUUAGACAGUGAGCAUGAGUUGACGUGGACAAUCUAGCUAUUAUUGAUAUGCGG